UUAUUCCAGUUGCCUUGCGUUGUGCGGGAGUUCCUUAUUCCUCCAUUUUAUUCCAGUUGCCUUGCGUUGUGCGGGAGUUCCUUAUUCCUCCGAAAUGGCAAUGGGAUCGACAAAAUUGCACCUGUACAGAUACACAAAGACGGAAGAGACGCACCUAACAUGCUUGAAGACGGCGGCGGCAGCAGAGCGCGAGCGCGGGAACUGCCAACCGGACCACGCGGCGACGGGUAUGUAGACGUCGAGCAGCACGACGGCCCUGGCCUCCACCGCGGCGCCGUCCCCUUCCCCUUCCCCUUCCCCAGGCCUCCUCCUGGUCACGACCCGGAGAAGCGUACCCUCCACCUCCACGCAGCGGUUCGCCACGAGCGUCCUGAGCAGGCGCACGACGCCGGGGGCGCGCGACCUGGGCCACCGCGGCUGGGCCCGCACG
rnacentral:misc_RNA from 1 species